GCAGUCUGACGGAGUCUCACUUUAAUUACAUUGUCUGAUCUGUACUCCAUCUCUGGUUACCACUUGUUUGAAGAUUCAUAUAGGUCUAUCACAGGAAGUACAGUCCUCCCAGUGGUGUGUGUGAGCCACCUGAGUUACCACACACAGAUCCGGAGGGCGAAGGGCCAGCCUGCAGUGCUGGUACAUGGCAGUCAAUACAUGGAUAGACAGAACGCAUUCAUACUUCUCGAUAGAGGGGUCAGUGUCACCUGAAAGGAAGACAGGCUGCUAGUGGAAGACUACACCCACAGUGAC